UUUAAUUGCUUUAAGUAUUUGGAUUUUAAGUAUGUUUUUGUUGAUUAAGUCACUUUCUUAUGAAUAGUAACUUGGUUUUAUUGUUUUUGCAAGUGCUCGAUUAAACUUUGUCAAAACGGAGAAGAAAAUUGAAGUCCAUACUCAAGGCAGACCGUUUGGCAUUACAGCCAUGGAAGAAUUGGCGUUGCGUCGGCAAAGAGUGAUGAGGCACCAUACAAUUUUUAGCAAGUGUGGCACUGCAGCACUAAAGAAGUAAGGUCGUGAUGCCAAAAAAUUGAGGGUGUGACAUUGUGUUGGUAUCUUGGACAGAGGCUGUUCUGUGUUGGCUCAAAUUAGGUUUUUUGAAAGUUAUUUAAAAGGAAUCUUUGGAGCAAUUAAAAGAAAAAAUUAAGUUAGGGUUUUCUUUGAAGAAAAAGUAGCUUUAAGCACUUAAGAAAGCGAAGAAAAACUUUGGAAGAUUGAAGAUCGAAGACCUUACAAGCUUUAGUUUUCUUUUCUUCUCUAUUUCAUCUUUGAUUUUAUUAAAUUGUUA
rnacentral:lncRNA from 1 species